UAUGGAUGUGGGUCAAUAAUGGGUGGCACUCCAUUUAUUUGGUCCAAGUAUAUUAUGUCUAGGACUUCUAAUAUGAUUGGAGGAGGGAUCCUAAUUUGAUUAAAAUAUCCAUUAGAUAUCUAUUUAAAGGACCCUAGCCUUACCUCUCUCAUUAUCUCAUGAUCUUCCAUCCUUGUCGCCACUUAUUACUGUGCCCACACCCCCUCUCUUCUCUCUCUAGCCCAUACCCUCUCUCUCUAGGCAUCCUCUUUUUGGAUCUUAGAGAGAAGUGGGCAGCAUCCUUUCUUUGGUGUCAAGAGUCUGCGUCAAGAUUGAUU
rnacentral:lncRNA from 1 species